UGAAGCUGGGAGUGAGGUUCCUCAGAAUGCCCUUCUCAGCACGAAUCCAGUUGAGUCUGAAGACAAGGAGGAAGACGCCACUGAUCCCACAUGUCAAGGGCCUGUCUGGCUGAAAAAUCACAAGAAAUGCUACACAAGUUACACAAUGUGACCUUCACCCAUUAUCUUCAUGUUCCUGGAAUCUGUGAUACAAAGAACCAUCUAUAGCCAGUCAAUAGCUUACGUUAUUUUAAGGAACCAAUGUGGGAACUGCCCCUUCUUUUUUUCUUUCAAACCCACUUGUAACUGCUGCUAACUGGAGCAUAUGUUCAGAGCCACCUGAAUCUACGUCCCCCAGGAUGCAGUCCUCAAACGUGGCCCAAAUAAACCCUCCACGUGUA
rnacentral:antisense_RNA from 1 species